GACGAGGCUGAAACUGCCAUAGACAACAGAACAGCCGACGACUCAUAAGCUCCAUACGCCGAGACCUCAGACAAACCGCAGCCACACGACCACCAGGCUGACUGAGCACGCACCAGCAGCCCAAACUGCUGCCUCCAUUGAAGCCGGCUAAACCGAAGGACGAGACAAGACACCAAGGAUCGUCCAGCGGAGAUCCGACGAACCACUCCACAACGCAACAACAGACGCAAUAGUACAUGAAGAACAGAGGAGAGAGUCCAGCAAGAGCCCUCACGUGCCACAAACCGCCGAGACAUUAGUCAGAUCUACAAAGAGAAAACGAGAUCUAGCCAAGCCUCACCUUAAAAGCCGACUCCUUUCGCCAACCCACCCCUCGCCGCCUCGUCGAGACACCAGAGACCAACCCCUCCUGCCAGAUCUAUCACUCCCCGGGAAGCUUUAGGGUUCCAGAAGCGAGGCAGAAACCAGGGUCUGCAACAAGCCGACUGACGAAGAGAUGAGAGGAAGAGAAGCAAAACGAAAACUGAGGCAAAGGGGAGAGAGAGUCUCCGGCGCCGGAGCUAACGCGAGCCCAGACCGGAGUCAGGACCUCCGGACGCCGGAGCAGCGAGGAAAAUUAGGGUUACGGCGGCUAGAGAUGAAAGAGAGGAAAAGAAAGGAGAGAGAAGGGUUUUUUCCUGCUCUUCAGAAAAAAAAAAAAAAUUCAGAAAAAAUGUUGCAAGCUGCUUUUCUCAAGUAAUUCUGUAAUUGGUAGUUCAAGUUGUAAUAACUUCACAUUGCACCCACUGGUUUCACUUUCACGUUCUAGUCUCUUAAACUCAUAAUGGCACCACUUAAAAUUUAAUCCCUCAGUUCUGAGAAAUGACUUUUCGAAAAUUUGCC
rnacentral:lncRNA from 1 species